rnacentral:rRNA from 1 species
AAAUUGAAGAGUUUGAUCAUGGCUCAGAUUGAACGCUGGCGGCAGGCCUAACACAUGCAAGUCGAACGGUAACAGGAAGCAGCUUGCUGCUUCGCUGACGAGUGGCGGACGGGUGAGUAAUGUCUGGGAAACUGCCUGAUGGAGGGGGAUAACUACUGGAAACGGUGGCUAAUACCGCAUAACGUCGCAAGACCAAAGAGGGGGACCUUCGGGCCUCUUGCCAUCAGAUGUGCCCAGAUGGGAUUAGCUGGUUGGUGAGGUAACGGCUCACCAAGGCGACGAUCCCUAGCUGGUCUGAGAGGAUGGCCAGCCACACUGGAACUGAGACACGGUCCAGACUCCUACGGGAGGCAGCAGUGGGGAAUAUUGCACAAUGGGCGCAAGCCUGAUGCAGCCAUGCCGCGUGUAUGAAGAAGGCCUUCGGGUUGUAAAGUACUUUCAGCGGGGAGGAAGGUGUUGCGGUUAAUAACCGCAGCAAUUGACGUUACCCGCAGAAGAAGCACCGGCUAACUCCGUGCCAGCAGCCGCGGUAAUACGGAGGGUGCAAGCGUUAAUCGGAAUUACUGGGCGUAAAGCGCACGCAGGCGGUCUGUCAAGUCGGAUGUGAAAUCCCCGGGCUCAA